AUGUAUCCACAAGGUUUAGUAGUCAUGAUGGGAGCGGCAAAGAACAUCACGGAGACGACCGUCUCAGACAUGGUGGGGAAGACGGUGGCAACUGUAACGGAGGCGACUGUCUCAGACAAGAUGGGAGAGAUAGUGGGGCCCGUCACGAAGGCGACCAUCCCAGGUACCCCACGGAAGACUGUGGCGCCCACCACAGAGGCAACCGUCAUGGAGGCGGCAGGGGAGACAAUGGCACCCAUCAUGGAGACGACCAUCCCAGACACGUCAGGGAAGAUGGUGACGCCUGUCACAGAAGCAACCAUCACAGUGGUGACGGGAGAGACAGUGGCGCCCAUCACAGAGACGACCAUCCCAGACACGUCAGGGAAGAUGGUGAUGCCUGUCACGGGGGCAACCAUCACGGAGGCGGCAGGAGAGACGGUGGCGACCAUCCUAGACAAGCUAGGGAAGACAGUGGCGCCAGUCACAAAGGCGACUGUCUCAGGCAUGCCAGGGAAGAUGGUGGCACCUGUCACAGAAACAACCGUCAUACAGGUGACGGGAGAGACAGUGGCGCCCGUCACAGAGACGACCAUCCCAGACACGUCAGGGAAGAUGGUGACGCCUGUCACGGAGGCAACCAUCACGGCGGCGGCAGGAGAGACGGUGGCAACCAUCCUAGACAAGCUAGGGAAGACAGUGGCGCCAGUCACAAAGGCAACCAUCCCAGUCAUGACAACGACCAUAGUGCUUGGACAUAAAGAAAUCUCAACUUCAGGGCUGCCAUCAGUAAAAAGCUUCUCAAGUUCUACAAUGAAAAUAAGUAGAGAAUCAACUCUGUUUUUCAAGUCUACUGCUAAACAACUAACUUUGGAGGACAAUAUGUUAGUCAAAUCAAACUCGAACAACCCGACUUCUGGGCCAGUCAUGACAGAAAAUGAAGAGAUAAUCAUGAAUGUGACCACCCCAGAUGAGGCAGGGGAGAAGAAGGCACCCGUCACGGAGGAGGCUUCCCCAGAGAAAGAACGGCAAUCAUCUAGACUAGUGUUAGGACUCGGCAUUUUCUUUGGGAUGCUCCUUAUUACUGCCAUCAUUAUUUGUUACUGUCUAUGGCAAAAGUCAAGAAAAAGCUCAUUUGACGUGAACUCAGUGGAAACAACUAUUCCCUUAAAUUCCACUGAAACAAAAGAACCAAGCUCAGAUGGGAAGAAGAAAUGAAAGCACUCACACUUAAUAGCCAUUCAUGAAGAUCUCACAAAAAGAACUAAUAUGGCUGAAUCAUCAGAGAAAUUAAAAUGGAUUGAAAUUCAAAGAGAUCCACUUAAUCACAGAAAAGGGCAAUCUCAGUAGUGUAAACUUCUUUUUAAAUGGCACAUUUUGGAGUGUUCCUGAAUCUAAUCAUAGUAAUAAGCAGAUAUUCAUUGGUGCUGGCUGCUACAAAUCUUUAUUCAUUGCCUGUUCCUUUUUGGUUGUGGAAAAAAGCUCACCUUACUUUAAUAUAGUUAUCUAAGAGCCAGAUUCUGCCAUUUAGGCACAAAUCUGCACCAGCAUAUGAGGAACAGGGGGAGGCAUAAUCCCUCUCCCAGCUCUCCAGCAUGCAGAAGAAGCAUGCCAUGGCCCUUUCUCUUCCUGCCCCUGCCUGCUUCCUUUAGAGGAAUUGUGGCCAUUAGGGUGCACAGAAGGAAUGAGUCAUGGAGCGGGGCAGUCUUUGUGCUUCCCUGAGUAUAGGGACUGGGGUCUUUCUGGGCCCUUAUGUGAAGCCCCUAAGGAGUGAGGGGAAAACUCCUUAUGCCUCCUGCUCCCACUGAUUCAUCCGUCCAAAAGCCUGUGACAAUCUAGCCCCUAAUUCUUUGUACAUAGCUUGUUUUAUAAUAAAUGACCUAAGUAAAAGUGAGUCUCA
ensembl:lncRNA